AUUAAAUUGCGCAAUAAUACAAAAAUGAUGGUAAUUUUAUACACACUAACAUCCAAAAGUAUACAAAGAAUAAACACACUUUCACAUACUCUUUCACCUUUCCCAAGGGUAAGCUCGUGUAUCACCAUCAUCCAACUUACUGGACAUUACAUUAGAAAACUUUCUUCUCUAUGAAGGAAAAACUCAUCAUUUUUAAAGGAUUGCAUUCUUGUCAGUCCAUUCAAACAAAACAAAAUAAGGCGAAUGUGUCCUCCCCGUCCUAUAAUGCUCAAGUGUUGCUAGCAAAGUGCAACUUCCUCUUGCACAAACGAUAACUACUGGUGUGGCACACUUGCACUACCAGUUCGGGAACAUCGUUAGCAUCACCGUAGUCCUCCAACAAAACCCAACUUAGCUGCGGUUAACAAGUAGCAAUGAUACCGACGGGGCCAAAAAAAAGCGGACGAAACUCUGCUAACACUAACCACACGACCUUACCUUUUACCCAUCUUCACUACGAAUCUUGGCUCGCAGGAGCUACACUGCCCACAAACCAUGCCCGCUCUGUUUCGGGAGUUCGGGAUAUAAAACCACCUUGAGGUUUGGACUGGGCGAGAACAAAACGGGGGAGCAAAAAGUGAAAAGACCGUGGCCAAAGUGGUUGAUAUAAAUUAUUUACAGCUCUUGCGGUUAGGGAGCAAGCAUGGUACGAGGUUUUUUUCAGUUGUUUUCUACAUUACACAUUCUGCUCCAAGCACUGGCACGUAGGUGACAACGGUCAGAGUUAGAGUCAGCCCGUACGUACCAGCUCGCCACGGUUUCUCUGGGGAGGGAUUCCUGUACAUCCUGCGGGUUUUUCCGGAUGUGAUAUAAAACAAAAAAAAAAAACAUUAACACAGUACCACAGACCGAAGCGAGAGAGAAAAAUAAAAUUUGUUGUAAAUUACCUUUAAUGCCUUCAAUGUAUGGGACCGCCACGACGAAGGCAGAAUCGGGCGGUCACCUGAGUACCUUGGGUAUCUACUAAUUUAUGAGCAAAUGGUAAGGAAGAAGGUAGCAUUUCGAACCAUUUAACAAGUACCAUUGGUUCACGUACCUCAGAGUGUGACUUCUUUAUGCGGUAAAGUCUUUUGAUAUGCUACAGGGACCAUUUCCCACGCCAUUUUGUUAGAAGCUAUAGCUGUGUAUCUCUCGCUAUGAAAAUUGUUAUGUUUUUGCAGCUUUGUGUGAGAAAAGUACUACCUCCAAAUAAUACUUAAUUCCGAUAAUGAUAAUUUGUAAAAUAAAUAAAUUCUACCCCACUUUUAUCCAUUUCUCACAGGUUCAAAAUACCAACAAAGUAAACAAAAUAUGUCCACUAAAGCGGUCUGUCUUGAAACGGAUUGAAAACUGUCACCAUGGAUAAGGCGGGUAUUUAAAGAGCAUUUAACAACACAUUCAUAAAAUCACACAACAUUAAGCACUGCUCAGCAAAAUCAUCAUCCAGCAAGGAAGAGGUACGUUGAAAUCGUUUGCAUGUGAUUCAAUUUAGUAUGGAAUAAUAUAUCUCAUAAUGUCCACAGCCAUUCCUUCCCGGCAGAUCGAUGAUAGGUCCGUUGACCCAAAAUGAUGAUACGCCGUACACGCUUGGGUGUAUGUGUCACCGAUCCAGUCAGAUCUCCACUUAAGGGUGUCGGAAAUUAGUUUAAACAUGAAACAAUUACCCUCCGAUUGCAGCAGGCGUUCUAAUGGAAAUACGUUCUGAUCCCUUUAUGUCCACACCACCACACCACCAGCACACUAGGACAAUCGGUCCCAUGCCGGGAAUACUAAUGCAACACACGUUUGCGUUCUUUUGCCAGCAAGAAAACGAACGAAAGCAACACUUGAAGGGUUCGUUUUAUGCACGACAAGAAGCAGAAUGGCUAAUCGGAAUCAGUGUCAUAGAUCUGAUCUAAUCACGUUUGAAGAGGAACCGAAGGAUUGGUCCCGUUUGGUGACGAGAGCGGACCGACAAACCGGACCCAUUGGACAUUGCAAAAUUAAAUACGGAAGAACCAACGACAAGCAGAUGCUGAACGUAAACCGGAAGAAGAUCGAUGCAUUACGGGGCCAAUGGCAGACGGUUAUGCGCACUUGGGACACAGGUGCAAGAAUUGCAUGUUCUCGCAGCUGGUAGCAGCAGAAGCAGCACGGCUUCUUCAAGAAGAAGCAUCCCUACAAUGCUAAUGGUGUCUAAAAUAACACUCUGCUUCGUUCGUUCCCUGCCGUUAGAAGGGAAACCAGGAGAGUGUGGAAGAAAUUUAAUUUGAUUUGUUAUCGUUUCAGGAUGAAGCCUGGCAGACAACUGCAACUGGUAGAAGUGGAAGAUGCAGGACUGUGAUUGAGUUGCUGACGGUGGAGAAAUUGCCAGUUAGCUUUCGGUACCUAAAGACGACCGGAACGCAUCACCUAGACGGAACCAGACAGGUGGUGCAAUUUGUGGAUUAUAAUGAGACAAGCGAAACCAUUGCAUCGCAUAGGAGGUUUUUUUCAUGAAAGGUUCAUGAAAGGGGCGAAAAAAAGCUUCCGAAACCAUCCGGCCAGAACCAAUAAUGUGUUGUGGUUUUUGUGGUGGAGCGAAUGGCAAAAAGGAACUGGGUCGAUUUCCGAGAAAAACCACAUCCGAAACACGGAUGGAAACAAUACAGUGAAAAGACCGGUGAUCAUGCGCCAGCAAGGGAAAAUGGUGGGAACGAAAGGCAAAACGGGGAAGGAUAUUGCAUCAAAGAUAUAAAUCAACAUGCGCCCGGGACCGGCAAACCUUUGUCCGAGGGUUGGCAUCUCGCAAUGGAGAAGGACGGAAUGUGGUUAGAGCAUUCUUAGCCCCAUCGAUCGUAAACCGGUGACGUGAACGUGCAAGCUAAUGACCAAAUACGCUAACCCGUAAACUUUCAGUUGGAGAAAUGCGAAAGAAUCACAAAAACAACACAAAAAACCAGAGUACGGACGUGCUCGGUUUCAUCCGAUUGCGCAAGCAGAUUUCGAUGUACACGAUUCACAUGACCGCUUUCACAUACUGAUUGGUGAUUUACGUAACGCAGAUCCCCGAAAUGAGGCAUCACGAAUCAGGCGAGCCGUGAUAAUUCACUCGCUUUUCUAACUAGCCCUGGUUUGAAGAAGUCCGGCGAGACUGCGGUUGAUUAUGGUAUGCUCAAAUAAUUCGUAAUUAUAUUGUAGACUGAUGUUUAUUGAUUGUACUGAUUUUGGUAACGAUUGAAUGAAUAUGAUAAAUUAUUGUGAAAUUGUUUUGUGCAGCUUUAAAAUAAACUUAUUUAUUUGAUAAUCCAAUGAUAAUCUGGAUUACUUAAGAUUGUGUG